rnacentral:tRNA from 1 species
GGGCUAUUAGCUCAGUUGGUUAGAGCACACCCCUGAUAAGGGUGAGGUCCCAGGUUCAAAUCCUGGAUAGCCCA